rnacentral:RNase_P_RNA from 1 species
AAAAUAGACGGGAUAGCUACCCGUUCCGCGAUCGCGGUUGGGAGGAAAGUCCGAGCUCUAAAGGGCAGCGCAGCGGCUAAUAACCGCCACCUGCAGCCUUAAGGCUGCAGGGAGGAAUAGAGCCACAGAGACGAGUCCCGCCGUUUGAACUUCGGCGGGGGUGAAACGCGGUAAUCUCUGCGCAGAGCAAUGUCAAGUAGGUCCUGACGUCCCCGCGCCAAGAUCAUAUGAUUUCGGUGCGAGGAAUAGAGUGGUCCGCUCGAAGAUUGUCAGGACGGGUUGACUGCGAGAGCUGGCGGAGCGAUCUACCGGCUAAGUCAAAUGGCUAUCACCCCCACACUGUGGGGGGACAGAACUCGGCUUAUACGUCUAUUUUGGGU